rnacentral:rRNA from 1 species
GACGAACGCUGGCGGCGUGCUUAACACAUGCAAGUCGAACGGAAAGGCCCCUUUGGGGGUACUCGAGUGGCGAACGGGUGAGUAACACGUGAGUAACCUGCCCUUGACUUCGGGAUAACUUCAGGAAACUGGGGCUAAUACCGGAUAGGAAUCCUUGCUGCAUGGUGGGGGUUGGAAAGCUUCGGCGGUUUUGGAUGGACUCGCGGCUUAUCAGCUUGUUGGUGGGGUAGUGGCUUACCAAGGCUUUGACGGGUAGCCGGCCUGAGAGGGCGACCGGCCACAUUGGGACUGAGAGACGGCCCAGACUCCUACGGGAGGCAGAAGUGGGGAAGAUUGCACAAUGGGCGGAAGCCGGGUGCAGCAACGCCGCGUGCGGGAUGACGGCCUUCGGGUUGUAAACCGCUUUCAGCAGGGGCGAAGCUUGUGGUGACGGUACCUGCAGAAGAAGCACCGGCUAACUACGUG